ACAGUACACAAAUAAAUACGAUAAUUCCCCACAGUGAGGAGUGCCAUAAAGAAAGAGGGUGAUACCUUCAAGAGGAAGGUGUGGAGUUGGGUGUCAGAUAAAGAGACUCUGGGGGGUUCCCCUUAUGGCUCAGUGAGUUAAGAAUUCAACUAGUAUCCAUGAGGACGCAGGUUGGAUCCCUGGCCCCACUCAGUGGGUUAAGGAUCCGGUGUUGCCGUGAGCGGUGGUGUAGGUUGCAGACGUGGCUCACAUCUGCUGUGGCUGUGGCUGUGUCCGGUGGCUGCAGCUCCAAUUUGACCCCUAGCCUGGGAACCUCCAUAGGCCAUGGGGGUAGCCCUAAAAAGAUAGGAAAGAAAGAAAGAAAGAAAGAAAGAAAGAAAGAAAGAAAGAAAGAAAGAAAGAAAGAAAGAAGGAAGGAAGGAAGGAAGGAAGAGAAUCUGGGAUGGUGACAAUUUGCUGAGACUAGAAUGACAAGGACUCGGCCUUGUGAAGAUAUGGGAAAAGUGUUGUUAACCAACGUGAGUUUUUCCAGUGGUUUUUCUCUCCAAACCUCCAGCUGUUUCUCAUCUGGUCCCAGAGGAAAAUGACGUAGGGAGAACUGGGUUGCCAAAGAUUUAUAAUUUAACCUUUCUGGUUCUAGAGCCGAUUCUUCCACCAGCAAAGAAAAUGCUCUUAACUCUUUAGUGCCUUGUGCUCUUUCAAAUUUGAAGGAUCCUCUGCGAGAGGUUUGGAGGGUUUGGACUCCCGACUGCAAUGGAGACAGUGAUUGAUGUUAAUAGGAACUGACACACAAGCCUCAGGAAAUGAUCCUUCUUGAGACUUGGCAUCUGCCAGGCUCUUUUCCAAAGUUUUAUGUUCUCGGCUGGUCUCUGGAGAGAUGGGGGCCAUAGCCAGCGGAAUGUGGCCACCCGUUUAAAAUAGAUAAAGUCGAAGGGUGUCCUCCAAUGUAUUGAGAUUUAUGAAAAGUGUGUAGCCCUGUGUGUUUCCACUGAAACGAGAGGUUGUGAGCUCCAGGGAGAAUUUGCACAGACAGAUGGUCAUUCUUUGUCUUGGCUGUCCAGCACUGUUCUGAUUUCAUAAAAGUUAAUUCUUUUCAAUAAAAGUCAUUUAUUUAUGAAAAGCACAACUAAGUGUGAUUUAACUCAUAUGCUUUUUUGCAAGAGCUUUCAAAAAUCCUUUGUCAUAAGAAGUGUUUCUAGGAGUUCCCAACAUGGCUCAGUGGAAAUGAAUCCGACUAGUAUCCAUGAGGAUGUGGGUUCGAUCCUUGGCCUUGUUCAGUGGGUUAAGGAUCUGGCGUUGUCGUGAUCUGUGGUGUAUGUCAAAGACGAGGCUUGGAUCCUCUGUUGCUGUGACUGUGGAGCAGGCUGGUGGCUACAGCUCUGAUUAAAUCCCUAGCCUCGUAAUUUCCAGAGGCCACAGGUAUGGCCCUAAAAAGAAAAAAAAAAAAAAAUGGUUAUAAAAAAUCGCUUAGGGUUCCCAUUGUGGCUCAGUGGUAACUAAUCUGACCAGUAUCCAUGAGGAGGCGGGUUCAAUCCCUGGCCUCCUUCAGUGGGCUAAGGAUCUGGUGUUGCCGUGAGCUAUGGUAUAGGUCGUAGCUCUGGUGUAGGCUGGCAGCUGCAGCUCUGAUUUGACCCCUAGCCUGGGAACAUGCAUAUGGAGGAGUGUAGUUCUGCCUUCAAGUAAGGAAACUUAGAAAUGAAAACACUCUCCCCACCCCCACCAUUGUGGCAAAAGCAACAUUAAACAGCUCCAGUCACAGAUAGCUGACAACCCCAUCAUGUAAUCAAAGCAACGCUUCAUGUGUCCAUGAUAUCUCCUAUCAUGUACAUUUUUAUGCAAUAUAAUAUAUGCAUCUUUUUGGGGGGUGGGGUCUUUUUAGGGCCACACCCACGGCAUAUGGAAUUUCCCAGGCUAGCGGUCGAAUCGGAGCUGUAGCUGCCAGUCUACAGCACAGCUCACGGCAGCACUGGAUCUUGAGCCCACUGCGUGGGGCCAGGGAUCAAACCCACAUCCUCACAGAUACAGGUUGGGUUGGUUGCCGCUAAGCCACAGCAGGAACUCCAAUAUGUGCAUCUUUGUAAUGAUAUUGUAGACAGAAUUUUAAAAUAACAAAACCCCUCAUUUACUGCUAGUCCUAAGCCCAGGCUCUCUGUCCUAAGGCCUUUACAUGCAUUAAUUCAUUUAGUUCUCACAAUAACCCCUGAGACAGGUACUAUUACUGUAUCCCUUGACGUGUGAGGAAAUUAAGGACAUAUUUUCUAUUACCUAGUCUACAAUCUGGCUUCAGAGUGUAACAUUUUUCUCAAAUUUUCAUUUUGCCUAGUCUUUUCCCGCUUUGUUUCUCUCUCCCUCCCCUCUUCAGACUAAAUCUCUUUUCCCCUUCUUGUUUUUCUCAUCUAAUAAAUGCAUUGUGGACAUUUCUUUUUUUUGGCUGCAUCCACAGUGUGUGGAAGCUCUUGGGCCAGGGAACCCAUCUGCCCCACAGUGGUAACCAGAGCCACAGCAGUGACAAUGUGAGGCCCUUAGCCCCCUGAGCCACCAGGGAACUCCUAUAGACAUUUCUUUAGGUCAAAAGAUGUAGAUCUGGAGUUCCUGUUGUGGCUCAGUGGUUAACAAAUCUGACUAGUAUCUGUGAGGACGUGGGUUUGAUCCCUGGCCUUGCUCAGUGGGUUAAGGAUCUGGCAUUGCCAUGAGCUGUGGUGUAGGUCGUGAUCGUGGCUUGGAUCCUGCGUUGCUGUGGCUGUGGUGUAGGCUGGAAGCUACAGCUCUGAUUCGACCUCCUAGCCUGGAAACUUCUAUAUGCCAUGGGUGCAGCCCUAAAAAG
rnacentral:lncRNA from 1 species